rnacentral:rRNA from 1 species
UGAGGAAUAUUGGGCAAUGGGCGAAAGCCUGACCCAGCCACGCCGCGUGAGUGAUGAAGGCCUUCGGGUCGUAAAGCUCUGUGGAGAGGGACGAAAACCCUGGUUUUGAAUAAGCUCCAGGCUUGACGGUACCUCUUUAGCAAGCACCGGCUAACUCUGUGCCAGCAGCCGCGGUAAUACAGAGGGUGCAAACGUUGCUCGGAUUUACUGGGCGUAAAGCGCGUGUAGGCGGGUUCGCAAGUCGGACGUGAAAUCCCUGGGCUCAACCCAGGAACUGCGUUCGAAACUGCGAAUCUAGAGUAGUGGAGAGGAAAGUAGAAUUCCCGGUGUAGAGGUGAAAUUCGUAGAUAUCGGGAGGAAUACCAGUGGCGAAGGCGGCUUUCUGGACACUUACUGACGCUGAGACGCGAAAGCGUGGGGAGCAAACAGG